rnacentral:RNase_P_RNA from 1 species
GAAGCAGGCCGGGUGACCGCGGCUCGCCGAGAGGCGGGUCGAGGAAAGUCCGGGCUCCGCAGAGCAGGACGCUGGGGAAAAUCCCAGGCGGAGAGAUCCGCGGAAAGUGCCACAGAAAGCAAACCGCCGGGAGCUUCGGCUCCGGGUAAGGGUGAAACGGUGAGGUAAGAGCUCACCAGCGCCGCGGGCGACCGCGGCGGCUCGGCAAACCCCGUUCGGAGCAAGGCCAAGCAGGAGGCGCGGGCUGCUCGUCCGCCGCAAGGCACCUCCGGGUAGGCCGCACGAGGCGGCCGGCAACGGUCGUCCCAGAUGGAUGGUCACCGCUCGCCCUUUUUGGAGCGAGUACAGAACCCGGCUUACAGGCCUGCUUCCGGG